rnacentral:misc_RNA from 1 species
GGUUUAUCAGUGGAGGUUUCUGUAUGUCUAAUUGGUACCACUGUUCAUUAGUGGUUUUUGAAUAGGAAGAGACUUGACAAAUUCAUGUUGAUUGGCUGCUGGAUAAGCUGCAUAUUCGAGACACCUGCUAGUUUUGCUGAGAUUUAGAGGAAUGGAUCAGAUUUGCCCCUCUACAACAAUAACAAUUUAUCCAGUAUAAUCCCAUAUUUGCCACUCUGUUGAUAAACAUAAUAUAUAUUGAAGAUUUGUUAUACUUAUAAUCUACCUCUGAUU